rnacentral:lncRNA from 1 species
UUAAGGUCAAAUUUGCUAGGCGAAAGUGGAAACCUCCACGGGAGGAGUUGACAAAUUAAAGCCCAGUACAACUGAACUAGUGGCGUAUUCAAUUGGUUGCUUUUUCUUUUCUUUGCUAUGUAGCUUUAUGUUAUACUUUAACUAAUUGUUGACUAACUUAUGAACAGUUUUGAAUGUCUUCACAUUGGACUUUAAGAAAGUACUCAAGCACGAGGCCACUAGCUUGCUCCUUGUUCAUACUGCUCUUCUUUCCAAGCCGUUAUCAUAUGCGUCAUUCCUGGA